rnacentral:ncRNA from 1 species
GAACCCUGUAAUCGCCGGAAUUGGCCGGCGGGCAUCCACCGUUAGACCUCAAAUCCAACGUCACCAGGGGAA